GUGGGGGUGGGAAAUAAUAGAAAGGAUAGAUGGGAGAUGCUGACACUUGAGCUUUAUCCCUAAAAUUGUUAAGCUCUAUCUAUCUGCUGGGGGAGAGUCAAGGAAAUUAUAUGUCUGUUAAUUAUUUGGGAUUGCUUGGCCGCUUUUCUGUGAGAUUGACUAUGGUAUACUUUCAGAUUUGUUGGCUGAAGUGGAUGCGGAGAACUGUAAUUCAGAGUUUUGAUUCUUGUGGCUGGCCAGUUCCAGAAAGUUGUUCUUGAAAACAGCUGUCCUAAUGCAUGAAUCAGGCAAGAUCUUUUGCGCAAAUGUACGGAAGUGAUAAUGAGCUGGAUGAGGACCAAAAAACUGAAGCUCCAGGCUCCCAUUAGGAUGGUGCAUCAGAUACAGAGGAGAGGAAGACACCAGAGAGCAUGGCCUAACUAGCAGUUUCUUCAGCACAUUGGAAACGGUAAUUGUCCUGUGUUCUACAACUCCUGUCCAAGACCGGUGCUGGGAAUAUCUUUCAUAUACAUUGCAGUUGUGUGGAAGGACACAAAACUUCAUGGAUUCAGCCACAUGCUGCUCUUUGAAUUGCAUCUUCCUGCCAGAGGACCCCUUUCCCAAUCCAGGAAGCACCACAUCAUAGUAUGAGGAGGUGGCCUUCACUGCAGAGAAAAGCCCAGCCCCCACUGCUGGUGUUAUAUGAACAAAGUACAACAAUUAUACAAAGCAAUAGACAACAGCAGCCAUAUUUCCAGAUUUAAACUGCUGCCAUGGGAAAGGGAGGAUUGAUCCUCAUUCCCUAGGCUGCACUCUAACCUCAGAUCAGUGCCAAUUCCAGAUCUGGGGAAUGCUGGGCAGACAAUGUCCAGGAGCCCUUCUGCACACCAGCAAGCUCAUGAGUCCCUUUCUACUCACCUACUUGCAUAUCCCCCCACUUUCAUUUAGACUGAUCCUGUCUUCAGCAGGUGGUUGGGCUAGAAGGCCUAUAUGGCCCCUUCCAAUUCUAUGAUUCUGUGACGUAACUGUGCAUCCUUCCCAUGCUCAUACGGCCUCCCACCACCUGACCUCACAGCAGCCUGCAUCACAUUCAUGCCUUUUCCCUGACAGCACUAGCUGUGUGCGUGAAGCUGGUAGUUCUGUUGCUAUGGCUCCACGAAUGCUCCGGCUGUAUUCUAUCCACAAGCACUUCUCCUUCAGUAUUGGAAAGUUGGGUGUAUUGGUGGCAGACUGCUUGCAAGCAAAUGGUCAGGGGCACACAGACAGAUGGCAGGAGAGGUACAUAGGUAGGGUGCCAGUGAAAGCAAGCCCCAACAGAAGCUCUGGACCAUGGCAGCUGCCCCACCACAGUUGCAGGUACUGUCUCUAAUGAUCCUUGGGAGUUUCUGUUUGCACUGGGGUAAAACAUACAAGGUAUUUGUAAGGUCAUAGGCACUGGGGAGGUAUUUGAGUCUGGGAAAACAACAGAGUGUAGAAAUUAACUCUACCUCACCACUACCCAAAUCUAACUCUGCCCCCCCACCCCACCCCGCCCGCUAUUCAGCAAUAAAAAUGUUAGGA